GGGGGGGGGGGGGGGGGGGCGGGGCGCGGGGGGGGGGGGCGGGGGCGUCGGGGGGGGGGGCGCGCGGGUGCGUGGCGCGUGGGACGCUGCCCUGGGGGUCGGGAUCCCUCCCCGAAGGGGGUGCUAAUACCGGAUAGUUCUUCGGGCCAACGGUUUAUCGCCGUUGGGUUGGGCCGCGUUGGGUUAGCUAGUUGGGAGGGUAAAAGCCUACCAAGGCGACGAUCCCUAGCUGGUCUGAGAGGAUGAUCAGCCACACUGGGACUGAGACACGGCCCAGACUCCUACGGGAGGCAGCAGUGGGGAAUAUUGGACAAUGGGCGAAAGCCUGAUCCAGCAAUGCCGCGUGAGUGAUGAAGGCCUUAGGGUUGUAAAGCUCUUUUACCCGGGAUGAUAAUGACAGUACCGGGAGAAUAAGCUCCGGCUAACUCCGUG
rnacentral:rRNA from 1 species